AGAUUGAACGCUGGCGGCAUGCCUAACACAUGCAAGUCGAACGGGAGUAGCAAUACUCUAGUGGCGGACGGGUGAGGAAUACGUAGGAAUUUGCCCUUAAGUGGGGGAUAACCCGGGAAACCCGGAUUAAUACCGCAUGACCUCGAAAGAGCAAAGUGGGGGAUCGCAAGACCUCACGCUUUUGGAGAAGCCUACGUCGGAUUAGCUAGUUGGUGAGGUAAUGGCUCACCAAGGCGACGAUCCGUAACUGGUCUGAGAGGAUGAUCAGUCAC
rnacentral:rRNA from 1 species